UGGAUCCAGGAAAGAGGGUCUGUGGCAGUUAAUGACGAUUAAUGCCUGUGUGCUUUUCAGAACAUUGAGCUGAAGGUUGAAGUGGAGAGCUUGAAACGAGAACUCCAGGACAAGAAACAGCAUCUGGAUAAAACAUGGGCUGAUGUGGAGAAUCUCAACAGUCAGAACGAAGCUGAGCUCCGACGCCAGUUUGAGGAGCGACAGCAGGAGACGGAGCAUGUUUAUGAGCUCUUGGAGAAUAAGAUCCAGCUUCUGCAGGAGGAAUCCAGGCUAGCAAAGAAUGAAGCUGCGCGGAUGGCAGCUCUGGUGGAAGCAGAGAAGGAGUGUAACCUGGAGCUCUCAGAGAAACUGAAGGGAGUCACCAAAAACUGGGAAGAUGUACCAGGAGACCAGGUCAAGCCCGACCAAUACACUGAGGCCCUGGCCCAGAGGGACAAGUAGGUGCCUUCGGUGCUCUUUUUGUCGCUUGUCUUUUGCCCAUUCUCAAGGCAUACAGCAGCUGCACUGUUCCCUUUCAAGGACUGACAGUAGGAGCUUCACUAUUUCUAAGACUUUAUGGGCCUACAACCAAAGACAUUCUUUGCAG
rnacentral:sRNA from 1 species